rnacentral:rRNA from 1 species
CCUACGGGAGGCAGCAGUGAGGAAUAUUGGUCAAUGGAGGCAACUCUGAACCAGCCAUGCCGCGUGCAGGAUGACGGUCCUAUGGAUUGUAAACUGCUUUUGUACAGGAAGAAACCUCCCUACGAGUAGGGACUUGACGGUACUGUAAGAAUAAGGAUCGGCUAACUCCGUGCCAGCAGCCGCGGUAAUACGGAGGAUCCGAGCGUUAUCCGGAAUUAUUGGGUUUAAAGGGUUCGUAGGCGGCUUUGUAAGUCAGUGGUGAAAUUUCCUAGCUUAACUAGGACACUGCCAUUGAUACUGCAGAGCUUGAAUAAUAUGGAAGUAACUAGAAUAUGUAGUGUAGCGGUGAAAUGCUUAGAUAUUACAUGGAAUACCAAUUGCGAAGGCAGGUUACUACGUAUUUAUUGACGCUGAUGAACGAAAGCGUGGGGAGCGAACAGGAUUAGAUACCCUGGUAGUCCACGACGUAACGAUAGAUACUAGCUGUUCGGUUUCGGUACGUGUAGUGGUCGUAGACGAAGUAGUAGUAGUA